rnacentral:rRNA from 1 species
GAUGAACGCUGGCGGCGUGCCUAAUACAUGCAAGUCGAACGCAUAGCGAAAGGUGCUUGCACCUUUCAAGUGAGUGGCGAACGGGUGAGUAACACGUGGACAACCUGCCUCAAGGCUGGGGAUAACAUUUGGAAACAGAUGCUAAUACCGAAUAAAACUUAGUGUCGCAUGACACAAAGUUAAAAGGCGCUUCGGCGUCACCUAGAGAUGGAUCCGCGGUGCAUUAGUUAGUUGGUGGGGUAAAGGCCUACCAAGACAAUGAUGCAUAGCCGAGAUGAGAGACUGGUCGGCCACAUUGGGACUGAGACACGGCCCAAACUCCUACGGGAGGCUGCAGUAGGGAAUCUUCCACAAUGGGCGAAAGCCUGAUGGAGCAACGCCGCGUGUGUGAUGAAGGCUUUCGGGUCGUAAAGCACUGUUGUAUGGGAAGAACAGCUAGAAUAGGAAAUGAUUUUAGUUUGACGGUACCAUACCAGAAAGGGACGGCUAAAUACGUG